CUCUGCUUCUCAAUUUUCUGACAAAGCCGCCAUCUUUGUGCUGCAGGAAAGCCGUUUGAGAUAUUGGUGAAAUUCAAACACUUUGUGAGAUGACAGAAUAUUGCUGAAGGAUCCUACAUGGAAGCUGGCUGAUUACACGGAGUGAUUCCUCUGGUGUGGUGUACCUCAGAGAAAUAAACACUGUUGCAAGAGCUGAGAAGAUGGCCAAGAUAUCCUUAUUGCUGGAUGGUAGCUCUGGUCGUAGUGGACCAUAUCUGCAAAUGCUAAGUUCUGAACAUUGACAGAAUUUCUAAAGAUGACUGAGAAUAUUACUGAAGGAUCCUACAUGGAAGCUGUCUGAUUACACUGAGUGAUUCCUCUGGUGUGGUGUACCUCAGAGAAAAUAAACACUGUUGCAAGAGGUCACUGCUACUGCAGCAGAUGUCGCAAGUCUUUCUCUGCCCAACGCCCCAAGGCUGUUUGCACUUGGUUCAUUCUCAGAAUAAACCCAGAGGGCUCCAAAUGCCAGGCCAAGUCCAUCACCAGCAAGAAGACCGGUAAAAAGGUGC